rnacentral:lncRNA from 1 species
CCUGAGCUGCUGUCUGUGGGUCCAUCCCUGAGCUGCUGUGUGUGGGUCCAUCCCUGUGCCUGUCGGACCAUGGGGUUGCAGGGAGCAGGAUGGAUCCUGGCUGCACCGCUUCCCAGCAGCCCUCUCCUUCUGUCGUAUCCAUUUCGCAGAAGGGAUGUGUGGACCCCUGGGAUGUGGGUCGCUGCCAUCCCUGCGUCCUUCUGCCCUCCAAGUGACAUUCUGGGAGACCCGGGAGCUGUGAAAUCUCGGGAGCUCCAUCCAUCCAUUACCGCCCCGAUGAGCUCUGCAGAGAUUUAUGAUGGGUUUUACCACCCGUGGGAGCUGCAGUGUCACAUCUCCAUCCCUUAACUCAUCCCCGGGCUGAGAUUUACAGCCCUGCAUUGUCAGUCAGCGCUGCUGGUGUGGGAUUGGGCAGCAGGGAAAGGUCAGAGCCACAGAACCGCAGAGCCAUUGGGGUUGGGGGAGACCUCUGGGAUCACCGAGUCCCACCCAACCCCCACAGGGACCCCUCAGCCCCCAGGAGCCCCCCGGGACCCCCAUUGUCAGCAAUGCCCCACACUGGGGCAGCUCCGUGGAGAUGGACAUCCCACAUGGGAUGGUUCCCAUACACCUCUGGGCACGGGCUGUUCUCAUGGUGCUUUGUUCCUUCCCAGUGCUCCCCAGUGCUCCCCCAUUGCUCUCCUAUUGUUCUCCCAGUGCUCCCCAGUGCUUCUCAGUGCUCCUCCAGUGCUCCCCCACUGUUCUCCCAUUGCUCUCCCAGUGCUCCUCCAGUGCUCCCCAGUGCUCUCCCAGUGCUCCCCAGUGCUUCUCAGUGCUCCUCCAGUGCUCCCCACUGCACUCCCAUUGCUCUCCCAGUGCUCCCCGGUGCUUUUUCCCAGGCCUCUCACCCCACAGGUCCCCACUGUGGCACACCCUGUCCCGCUGUGCCCACGCCGUGCUGCUGGAGGACAUGCGGUUCCACCCAUGACCCAGACAGCUCUGCAUGCCAUGAGCUCGGUGCCGUCUGGCUCCCAGCGCGUGUGAAUAAUGCAUGGUGCUGCUCUGCCCGCAGCCCUGCUGUGUGUCUCAGUGCUGAUGCAGAAGGACGGCCAUCAUUUCUAAAUGGGUGAUUCAGAAGGGAGCAUUCCUC